CCUGAUGCAGCGACGCCGCGUGAGGGAUGACGGCCUUCGGGUUGUAAACCUCUUUCAGCAGGGAAGAAGCGAAAGUGACGGUACCUGCAGAAGAAGCGCCGGCUAACUACGUGCCAGCAGCCGCGGUAAUACGUAGGGCGCAAGCGUUGUCCGGAAUUAUUGGGCGUAAAGAGCUCGUAGGCGGCUUGUCACGUCGGAUGUGAAAGCCCGAGGCUUAACCUCGGGUCUGCAUUCGAUACGGGCUAGCUAGAGUGUGGUAGGGGAGAUCGGAAUUCCUGGUGUAGCGGUGAAAUGCGCAGAUAUCAGGAGGAACACCGGUGGCGAAGGCGGAUCUCUGGGCCAUUACUGACGCUGAGGAGCGAAAGCGUGGGGAGCGAACAGGAUUAGAUACCCUGGUAGUCCACGCCGUAAACGUUGGGAACUAGGUGUUGGCGACAUUCCACGUCGUCGGUGCCGCAGCUAACGCAUUAAGUUCCCCGCCUGGGGAGUACGGCCGCAAGGCUAAAACUCAAAGGAAUUGACGGGGGCCCGCACAAGCGGCGGAGCAUGUGGCUUAAUUCGACGCAACGCGAAGAACCUUACCAAGGCUUGACAUAUACCGGAAAGCAUUAGAGAUAGUGCCCCCCUUGUGGUCGG
rnacentral:rRNA from 1 species